GGCGGCGUAGCUCAGUUGGCAGAGCAGGGGACUCAUAAGCCCUAGGUCACAGGUUCAAGUCCUGUCGCCGCCA
rnacentral:tRNA from 1 species